UUCCAAUGAUUACAACAUGCAAUAGAUAGUAGAUGAUUACGAUGAUUACUACUUUAUCACCAAGAUCACUGAGGAA
rfam:Bipolaris zeicola 26-R-13 unplaced genomic scaffold scaffold_304, whole genome shotgun sequence.